GGGGCUGAUUUGGAUUCGACAGGGAAGAUUUCUGGUCAGUAAGCAUGUCGGAGCAUCUUGAUUUACUCCGUUAACAAAUAAUCUUGAAACCAAUUUAACUGGCAAUAAUAACUUUGCCCUUGCAGCCUAAUUUUAGAAAUUAGAGAUGCAUGUGUGCCUCUGGCUUGAUGCCUGAUACAAAGUCGGACGCACAUCAUAAACAUUCAGGCUUAAGUUCCGGACUUGUUCCGAUCCGGAACUGACAUUUAAGGAAAUAAGGAAUUGGACAGGUCCUUUGCAGAACCGGUUCUUUUCCCGACAACUCAAUCUGUAAAUAAGCAUGUAGAAAGCUGAUGAGUGCUUUGACUGGACCCGGGUUCGACCCCCGGCAGCUCCACUU
rnacentral:tmRNA from 1 species